rnacentral:rRNA from 1 species
UGCGGAGGGAGCUAGCGUUGUUCGGAAUUACUGGGCGUAAAGAGCGCGUAGGCGGCUAACUAAGUUGGGAGUGAAAUCCCAGGGCUUAACCCUGGAAUGGCUUUCAAAACUGGUUAGCUAGAGGACGAUAUAGGAUGGUGGAAUUCCUAGUGUAGAGGUGAAAUUCUUAGAUAUUAGGAGGAACAUCGGAGGCGAAGGCGACCAUCUGGGUCGUAUCUGACGCUGAGGCGCGAAAGCGUGGGGAGCAAACAGG